AGUCUAAUGGCCUGGGCGCGGGCAAACCCAACCGGAUGGAUGAAGACCUCAAAUGGGUGGAAGAAAAUAUUCCCUCUUCACUAACGGACGUAGCGUUGCCGACAUUACUGGACUCGGAUGAGGAAAUCAUGAUGACCAAAUCAGAAAUCUC